rfam:Acetivibrio ethanolgignens strain ACET-33324 ACET-33324.Scaf18, whole genome shotgun sequence.
GCGGGAAUGCUGGAAUUGGCAGACAGGCAUGAUUCAGGUUCAUGUGUAUGUACGUACGUGAGGGUUCAAGUCCCUUUUCCCGCA